ACAAAGGACCUUUUCAGGUCCACAGAUGCCUUAUUUCAAUUGUGAU
rfam:Ophiophagus hannah scaffold2193.1, whole genome shotgun sequence.